rnacentral:rRNA from 1 species
AUGAUCUUCUUCCUGGGUGGGAGUCCAAUUACAUGGGCAACGCAAAAGCAGAGAGUUGUGGCUCUAUCGUCUUGUGAAGCCGAAUAUGUAGCAGCCGCAUCAGCUGCAUGCCAAGCAGUGUGGCUAGCUCGGCUCCAUGGAGAAUUGUUGAACAGGGAGCCGGACAGAGUAUUGCUGAAGGUUGAUAACCAAUCAGCAAUUGCAUUGUGCAAAAACCCAGUGUUCCAUGAGAGAAGCAAGCAUAUAGACAUUAGAUAUCAUUAUGUGAGAAGCUGUGUCGAAGAAGAGCAAAUCUCAGUGGAACAUGUCAGAACAGAGGCGCAACUUGCUGACAUAUUGACCAAACCAUUAGCAAGGGUGCGGUUUCAGGAAAUGAAGGAGAAGAUUGGGUUACAAAAUGUUUAG